UGAGAUAUGCACUUGGAUUGCAUGUAGAUUUUUCUUCCCAUGCUGUCAAAUGUUUAAGGCCUUCAUAAUAACCUGCAUAGUGCAGAUGGAAAUCAUAAUUUUGAAACAAAACUACUCAGAGCUUCUUAUGAAAAGAGCAACAGAAUAAUUUACAGGCCAAAAGCCUAACUGCCUAUGAUUCACCCAUGAUCAAAAGACGGUAUGUUUGAGUUUUCCUUUCCCAGACAAAAUAAAACAAUCUAGUGCGAGGGAAUGAAAGUUAAGAUGUUG
rnacentral:lncRNA from 1 species